rnacentral:tRNA from 1 species
ACCUAGAUAGCUUAUUAGAGCGUGACACUGAAGAUGUUAAGGAAAUCUUAGAUUUCUGGGUA